rnacentral:rRNA from 1 species
AUUGAACGCUGGCGGCAGGCUUAACACAUGCAAGUCGAGCGGGGUGAUGGUGCUUGCACUAUCACUUAGCGGCGGACGGGUGAGUAAUGCUUAGGAAUCUGCCUAUUAGUGGGGGACAACAUCUCGAAAGGGAUGCUAAUACCGCAUACGUCCUACGGGAGAAAGCAGGGGAUCACUUGUGACCUUGUGCUAAUAGAUGAGCCUAAGUCGGAUUAGCUAGUUGGUGGGGUAAAGGCCUACCAAGGCGACGAUCUGUAGCGGGUCCGGGAGGAUGAUCCGCCACACUGGGAGUGAGACACGGCCCAGACUCCUACUGGAGACAGCAGUGGGGAAUAUUGGACAAUGGGGGGAACCCUGAUCCAGCCAUGCCGCGUGUGUGAAGAAGGCCUUAUGGUUGUAAAGCACUUUAAGCGAGUAGGAGGCUUACCUAGUUAAUACCUGGGAUAAGUGGACGUUACUCGCAGAAUAAGCACCGGCUAACUCUGUGCCAGCCGCCGCCGUAAGAC